rnacentral:rRNA from 1 species
GAAUGCUGACAUAAGUAACGAUAAAGCGGGUGAAAAGCCCGCUCGCCGGAAGACCAAGGGUUCCUGUCCAACGUUAAUCGGGGCAGGGUGAGUCGACCCCUAAGGCGAGGCCGAAAGGCGUAGUCGAUGGGAAACAGGUUAAUAUUCCUGUACUUGGUGUUACUGCGAAGGGGGGACGGAGAAGGCUAUGUUGGCCGGGCGACGGUUGUCCCGGUUUAAGCGUGUAGGCUGGUUUUCCAGGCAAAUCCGGAAAAUCAAGGCUGAGGCGUGAUGACGAGGCACUACGGUGCUGAAGCGACAAAUGCCCUGCUUCCAGGAAAAGCCUCUAAGCAUCAGGUAACAUCAAAUCGUACCCCAAACCGACACAGGUGGUCAGGUAGAGAAUACCAAGGCGCUUGAGAGAACUCGGGUGAAGGAACUAGGCAAAAUGGUGCCGUAACUUCGGGAGAAGGCACGCUGAUAUGUAGGUGAAGCGACUUGCUCGUGGAGCUGAAAUCAGUCGAAGAUACCAGCUGGCUGCAACUGUUUAUUAAAAACACAGCACUGUGCAAACACGAAAGUGGACGUAUACGGUGUGACGCCUGCCCGGUGCCGGAAGGUUAAUUGAUGGGGUUAGCGGUAACGCGAAGCUCUUGAUCGAAGCCCCGGUAAACGGCGGCCGUAACUAUAACGGUCCUAAGGUAGCGAAAUUCCUUGUCGGGUAAGUUCCGACCUGCACGAAUGGCGUAAUGAUGGCCAGGCUGUCUCCACCCGAGACUCAGUGAAAUUGAACUCGCUGUGAAGAUGCAGUGUACCCGCGGCAAGACGGAAAGACCCCGUGAACCUUUACUAUAGCUUGACACUGAACAUUGAGCCUUGAUGUGUAGGAUAGGUGGGAGGCUUUGAAGUGUGGACGCCAGUCUGCAUGGAGCCGACCUUGAAAUACCACCCUUUAAUGUUUGAUGUUCUAACGUGGGCCCCUUACCGGGGUUGCGGACAGUGUCUGGUGGGUAGUUUGACUGGGGCGGUCUCCUCCUAAAGAGUAACGGAGGAGCACGAAGGUUGGCUAAUCCUGGUCGGACAUCAGGAGGUUAGUGCAAUGGCAUAAGCCAGCUUGACUGCGAGCGUGACGGCGCGAGCAGGUGCGAAAGCAGGUCAUAGUGAUCCGGUGGUUCUGAAUGGAAGGGCCAUCGCUCAACGGAUAAAAGGUACUCCGGGGAUAACAGGCUGAUACCGCCCAAGAGUUCAUAUCGACGGCGGUGUUUGGCACCUCGAUGUCGGCUCAUCACAUCCUGGGGCUGAAGUAGGUCCCAAGGGUAUGGCUGUUCGCCAUUUAAAGUGGUACGCGAGCUGGGUUUAGAACGUCGUGAGACAGUUCGGUCCCUAUCUGCCGUGGGCGCUGGAGAACUGAGGGGGGCUGCUCCUAGUACGAGAGGACCGGAGUGGACGCAUCACUGGUGUUCGGGUUGUCAUGCCAAUGGCACUGCCCGGUAGCUAAAUGCGGAAGAGAUAAGUGCUGAAAGCAUCUAAGCACGAAACUUGCCCCGAGAUGAGUUCUCCCUGACUCCUUGAGAGUCCUGAAGGAACGUUGAAGACGACGACGUUGAUAGGCCGGGUGUGUAAGCGCAGCGAUGCGUUGAGCUAACCGGUACUAAUGAACCGUGAGGCUUAACCU